rnacentral:rRNA from 1 species
UAGGGAAUUUUCGGCAAUGGACGAAAGUCUGACCGAGCAACGCCGCGUGAGGGAGGAAGUACUUCGGUAUGUAAACCUCUGUUAUAAAGGAAGAACGGUAUAAUCAGGGAAUGGGUUAUAAGUGACGGUACUUUAUGAGGAAGCCACGGCUAACUACGUGCCAGCAGCCGCGGUAAUACGUAGGUGGCGAGCGUUAUCCGGAAUCAUUGGGCGUAAAGAGGGAGCAGGCGGCAGCAAGGGUCUGCGGUGAAAGACCGAAGCUAAACUUCGGUAAGCCGUGGAAACCGGGCAGCUAGAGAGCAUCAGAGGAUCGCGGAAUUCCAUGUGUAGCGGUGAAAUGCGUAGAUAUAUGGAGGAACACCAGUGGCGAAGGCGGCGAUCUGGGGUGCAACUGACGCUCAGUCCCGAAAGCGUGGGGAGCAAAUAGG